rnacentral:rRNA from 1 species
UACGAAGGGGGCUAGCGUUGCUCGGAAUCACUGGGCGUAAAGGGUGCGUAGGCGGGUCUUUAAGUCAGGGGUGAAAUCCUGGAGCCUCAACUCCAGAACUGCCUUUGAUACUGAAGAUCUUGAGUUCGGGAGAGGUGAGUGGAACUGCGAGUGUAGAGGUGAAAUUCGUAGAUAUUCGCAAGAACACCAGUGGCGAAGGCGGGCUACUGGGCCGAUACUGACGCUGAUGUGCGAAAGCCAGGGGAGCGAACGGG